GGCCUUUUGGUUAUAUUUAAGGUCUAGCCUGCUCUAUGAAUUUUAUUUAAAUGGCCGCGGUAAUUUGACCGUGCAAAGGUAGCAUAAUAAUUAGUUUUUUAAUUGAAAGCUGGAAUGAACGGCUGAAUGAGGAAAUGACUGUCUCUUAAAAAUUUUAUUAGAACUUUAUUUUUAAGUAAAAAAGCUUAAAUUUUAUUUAAAGACGAGAAGACCCUUUAGAAUUUUAUAUAAUUUUUAAAAAUAAUUUUUUAGAAUUUAAAUUUUAUUAUUGGAUAUUAUAUUUGGUUGGGGUGAUUGAAAAAUUUAUUAAACUUUUUUUAUAUAUAAAACAUUGAUUUAUGAUUAUUUGAUCCAUUAUUUAUGAUUAUAAGAAUAAAUUACCUAAGGGAUAACAGCGUUAUUUUUUUUGAGAGUUCUUAUCGAAAAAAAAGAUUGCGACCUCGAUGUUGGAUUAAAAUUAAAUUAAGGUGCAGCAGCUUUAACUUUAGGUCUGUUCGACCUUUAAAAUUUUACA
rnacentral:rRNA from 1 species